rnacentral:rRNA from 1 species
AUUGAACGCUGGCGGCAUGCUUUACACAUGCAAGUCGAGCGGUAACAGGUUAAGCUGACGAGUGGCGAACGGGUGAGUAAUGCAUCGGAACGUGCCCGGUCGUGGGGGAUAACACUUCGAAAGAAGUGCUAAUACCGCAUACGAUCUGAGGAUGAAAGCGGGGGACCGUAAGGCCUCGCGCGAUCGGAGCGGCCGAUGUCAGAUUAGGUAGUUGGCGGGGUAAAGGCUCACCAAGCCGACGAUCUGUAGCUGGUCUGAGAGGACGACCAGCCACACUGGGACUGAGACACGGCCCAAACUCCUACGGGAGGCAGCAGUGGGGAAUUUUGGACAAUGGGCGCAAGCCUGAUCCAGCAAUGCCGCGUGCAGGAAGAAGGCCUUCGGGUUGUAAACUGCUUUUGUACGGAGCGAAAAGGCUCUCUCUAAUACAGGGGGCUCAUGACGGUACCGUAAGAAUAAGCACCGGCUAACUACGUGCCAGCCGCCGCCGUAA